AGGUGAACCUGCGGAGGGAUCAUUACAGAGUAAACUUGAUGGGUUGUUGCUGGCUCUUACCUGAGCAUGUGCACGCCUGUCAUUUUUAUCUUUCCACCAUGUGCACCCUGUGUAGGUCUUGAAAAGACAAUAAGCCUAACCUUCGGGUUACUGGGGUGUUGCUGUUCUUCUUUUGAAUAGCUUGUCCUAUCUUUGGCUGUCUUUUCAGAUUCUACGAUUUAUAUAUACACCUAUGUAUGUUAAAGAACGUUAUUGAUAUGGGCCCAUGAAGCCUAUAAACCUAUAAAACAACUUUCAGCAACGGAUCUCUUGGCUCUCG
rnacentral:misc_RNA from 1 species